GAUGAACGCUAGCGGCAGGCCUAACACAUGCAAGUCGAGGGGUAGAAUUAGCUUGCUAAUUUGAGACCGGCGCACGGGUGCGUAACGCGUAUGCAAUCUACCUUGUACAGGGGGAUAGCCCAGAGAAAUUUGGAUUAAUACCCCAUGGUAUAAUUAAUUUGCAUGAAUUGAUUAUUAAAGUUCCAACGGUACAAGAUGAGCAUGCGUCCCAUUAGCUAGUUGGUGUGGUAACGGCAUACCAAGGCGACGAUGGGUAGGGGUCCUGAGAGGGAGAUCCCCCACACUGGUACUGAGACACGGACCAGACUCCUACGGGAGGCAGCAGUGAGGAAUAUUGGUCAAUGGUCGGAAGACUGAACCAGCCAUGCCGCGUGCAGGAAGACGGUCCUAUGGAUUGUAAACUGCUUUUGUACGGGAAGAAACACUCCUUCGUGAAGGAGCUUGACGGUACCGUAAGAAUAAGGAUCGGCUAACUCCGUGCCAGCAGCCGCGGUAAA
rnacentral:rRNA from 1 species